CCUACGGGUGGCAGCAGUCGAGAAUCUUUCACAAUGGGGGCAACCCUGAUGGAGCGACGCCGCGUGGAGGAUAAGGUCUUCGGAUUGUAAACUCCUGUCAUGCGAGAACAAGGUUGCAGGGCUAACACCUUUGCAAAUUGAUGGUACCGCAAGAGGAAGAGACGGCUAACUCUGUGCCAGCAGCCGCGGUAAUACAGAGGUCUCAUGCGGGGUCCGGAAUCACUGGGCGUAAAGGUUGCGAAGGUGAUGUGAAAGCCCGGGGCUCAACCUCGGAAUUGCAUCCGAUACUGCCAUGCUGGAGUACUGAAGAGGUGACUAGAAUUCUAGGUGUAGCAGUGAAAUGCGUAGAUAUCUAGAGGAAUACCAACGGCGAAGGCAGGUCACUGGGCAGUUACUGACACUGAGGCACGAAGGCCAGGGGAGCAAACGGGAUUAGAUACCCUAGUAGUC
rnacentral:rRNA from 1 species